GGCCUUUAUGAUUGUCGAUCAUGCACAAGUAACAAAUGCACUGACUGUCAUCCUGACAGUAAAUAUCAAGAGGUUUAUCGUGACGAAGACAAUUAUUGUCUGGAAUGUUCUCUUGAAUUUGCAUGGAGACUUUGACCAGUUUGUGCUUCAUAAAUGCAGGAGACUGAUAGUGAAUCUGCAGAUGAGUUUCACAGAAGGAGGCCAAACACUGCAGACAGGACAUUACAGCUCUAUUCUUCUCUGUGGUACAAACAUCACACUCCACACAAGAGUCCUCCUGAGAACAGGAAGCAGUUUGUAUGGAUGUCUUCUGCAGCUUCU